CCACCUCUGUUAUAAAUAAGGGUAAGUAUGUAAUUUUGUUCUCUUUUUAUGUCUCUCUCCUCCCAAAACAAAAAAUUUUACUAAAAAACAAGAGAAACAAGAUCUAAAAGUUAGGGUUUUCACUCUCCUGAAGAAGAUUAAAAGAAGAUCAAAAGACAACUAUGCUUGGUGGCGAGCUCGUUUAACCCAGAUGGCAAAAUACUUUACAGCUUACCGGAUUGAUCACAUAUUGGGUUUCUUUCGCUGGGAGCUUCCGUCGCAUGCUAUGACAAGUCUAACUGGAAAAUUUUGACCAUCGAUCUCUCUGAGUCAGGAAGAACUUGAAAGAGAGGGAAUAUGAGACUUUGAUUGAUUGAGUCGUCCAUAUACUUGGCAGGAAUUGUUACAAGUUACUGAUUUUUUUUUGUUAGCUGUAAUUUGUAGAUGGGUGAGCAAGCGUGAAAGAGUGCGUGGGAGAAGAGUGUUUGAUCUGAUUUCUUGUUUGAUUUUUUUAUGAAACUUGUUAGAGUAACGAAAAAAUUAGAGGUGG